GACAACCCUAGAGAUAGGGCUUCUCGUUCGGGAGCAGAGUGACAGGUGGUGCAUGGUGUCGUCAGCUCGUGUCGUGAGAUGUUGGGUUAAGUCCCGCAACGAGCGCAACCCUUGAUCUUAGUUGCCCAUCAUUAAGUUGGGCACUCUAAGGUGACUGCCGGUGACAAACCGGAGGAAGGUGGGGAUGACGUCAAAUCAUCAUGCCCCUUAUGACCUGGGCUACACACGUGCUACAAUGGACGGUACAAAGAGCUGCAAGACCGCGAGGUGGAGCUAAUCUCAUAAAACCGUUCUCAGUUCGGAUUGUAGGCUGCAACUCGCCUACAUGAAGCUGGAAUCGCUAGUAAUCGCGGAUCAGCAUGCCGCGGUGAAUACGUUCCCGGGCCUUGUACACACCGCCCGUCACACCACGAGAGUUUGUAACACCCGAAGUCGGUGGGGUAACCUUUUUGGAGCCAGCCGCCUAAGGUGGGACAGAUGAUGGGGUGAAGUCGUAACAAGGUAACCUA
rnacentral:rRNA from 1 species